GAUACUUGGUGUGAAUUGCAUAUUCAGUGAAUCAUCGAGUCUUUGAACGCAUCUUGCGCUCAAUGGUAUUCCAUUGAGCACGCCUGUUUCAGUAUCAACAACAACCCACAUCCACAAUUUUGUUGUGAAUGGAAAUGAGAAUUUCGGACUUGCGCUGAAUUCUUUAAAAUUAUUAGGCCUGAACUAUUGUUCUUUUAGCCUGAACCUUUUUUUAAUAUAAAGGAAUGGUCUAGUUAUUAAGACUAUCUUGGGGGCCUCCCAAAUAAAUCAUUUUUUAAACUUGAUCUGAAAUCAGGUGGGAUUACCCGCUGAACUUAAGCAUAUCAAUAAGCGGAGGAA
rnacentral:rRNA from 1 species